GAUAAUCCGGCACUGCUACGCAGUAAAAUCAAUUGCGCAAUAUGAUAUAGGUUGCCAUAUUGACAAAUGGGUUGAAUAUGGUAUAGUGUAUUUAUUGUGUAAGACAUGAUUGCGUUUCAUACAGAAAUGACAUAACGGAAGGGGGCGGGAGAUGGGUCAGAGAGUACGGGAGAAACCCGGGAAAAACGGGAGAGUUGGCAGGUAUGGUCUGCGUAUUAGAGCGUAUGGGAAAGUUAACGAAAAGUAACAGCCCCAUACACACAUAAUGAAAGGACUAAAGGAGACAUCAAUUAUUUUUCCCUGGACAGCCGUGAGUGUGACGACAAAGGAGAGGUCACUCCAGAGACUGUUCAGAAACCGAAACACCUCAACCAAAAACCUUUCACUUCCAGUCUCCAAAGUAUUUCAUGAGGAGAUGAUUGUUGAUGAUUUUCAUGUGUCACAUCAUGUGACGAGUGGGAAAUCCUCCACCAUAAAAACACUGCUAAUUAUAAUACUACAGUGUCGAUUUGUUGCUGCUACAGACCCCAACUGUCCGUAUAUCCCAAUCAUUAAGGAGUGGGGUGUACCAGCCUGUUACACAGAACUACAUAAGGCAUAUCCUGGAUGGCUAGUGGGGAAGACACAGGCUAAUAGCAUCCCCAGAGAUUUUCGAUUAGAGAUUCCACUCGGCUGUGGUGAUAAGAUCAGCUGUGACGAUCUCCUACGGGCCCUUGUUAACAGCUACUGCAUGAACAGGAAUUGCAGUGAUGAUAAGCCCAAUACGUCUUGCAAUGAAACUAAUAAAAAAACAAAGACGUUGAUUUACUGCUUGAAUGAUAAUUAUUCUAUCUCCUGCCAGGAGCCCCUAGGGUUUCAAAACCCAAGGAUAUAUAUGUUAGUGAAUGAUACAGAUUUCACCCAUAACAUUCAAGGUUGUCUCAUGGACAAGGUGCCAGGUACAACAGCAUCCACCACCUGUACUAUGACCACCACCACCACGACAUCUCGUAGUGCACCAACAACAGUUACCCCCGGCAGUACACCCACCUCCUCCACCCCCACCACAUCUUCUAUCAUCACAGAUAGUACACAGUCCCCAACGCCUUCCCAUGCCUCUCACACCUCAGAACAAUUUAGUGUUGGAGCUCCUGGAGAAGCUGAAGCAGAGUCGUUAGCGGGUGAUUCCCUGCCCUAG
rnacentral:lncRNA from 1 species